GAUGAACGCUAGCGGCAGGCUUAACACAUGCAAGUCGAGGGGUAACAGGAGAAAGCUUGCUUUCUUGCUGACGACCGGCGAACGGGUGCGGAACACGUAUGCAACCUACCUCUAUCAGGGGGAUAGCCCAGAGAAAUCUGGAUUAAUACCCCAUAAUAUUUUCUCAACACAUGUUGAGGAUCUUAAAGCUUCGGCGGAUAGAGAUGGGCAUGCGGCCCAUUAGUUAGUUGGUGAGGUAACGGCUCACCAAGACCACGAUGGGUAGGGGUUCUGAGAGGAUGAUCCCCCACACUGGUACUGAGACACGGACCAGACUCCUACGGGAGGCAGCAGUGAGGAAUAUUGCGCAAUGGACGAAAGUCUGACGCAGCCAUGCCGCGUGCAGGAUGACUGCCCUAUGGGUUGUAAACUGCUUUUAUAUACCAAGAAACCCCUGGACGUGUCCGGGGCUGAC
rnacentral:rRNA from 1 species